GAGGUCGUUCCCUGCGCGGGGUUUCWGGCGGCUCGCGGCGAGUAGGUCGGUCACCCACCCGACCCGUCUUGAAACACGGACCAAGGAGUCUAACAUGUGCGCGAGUCACGGGGUCUUGUUCAGGCCCAGAGGCGCAAUGAAAGUAAAGGGCGGUCUCGASGCCGCCCGUGUUGGGACUCCUC
rnacentral:rRNA from 1 species